GCACACAGAGCCGCCUUUCAGCCGCCCGAGAACGGCCCGCCGCACUCCGCGACUGCGGCGCCUGCUCUCGGGCCGGGGUCUGCGCGCACCACGCGGCCGUCAGGAAGGGUAAGAGAAGGGAACCCCGCUUUGCAGGGCUCCAACUUCGGCGGACGCGUUACGGCGAGGGCGAAAUGAGUCGGCCGUGAACGGUGUUUCCUGUUCCGAAUCCCGAGAGCCCUGGAAAGUUUUGAAGGAGGAGGCAUGGCCCGGCAGCCUUAUCGUUUUCCCCAGGCAAGGAUUCCGGAGAGAGGAUCAGGUGUUUUCGGGUUAACCGUCAGGUUGGAGUCCAGUGGCACAUUCUCAGCUCACUGCAACCUCUGCCUCCUGGGUUCCAAGUGAUUCUUGUGCCUCAGCCUCCCGAGUAGCUGGGGUUACAGGUUUGUGCUACCAUGCCCAGCUAAUUUUGUAUUUUUGGUAAAGACAGGGUUUCGCCAUGUUGGCCAGGCUGGUCUUGAACUCCUGUCCUCAAGUGAUCUGCCUGCCCUGGCCUCGGAAAGUGCUGGGAUUACGGGCAUGAGCCACCAUGCCCAGCCUCUGCUGACCUAAUUCUUGGUUAUGAAGCCUGGUUGUAAUUUAAGACUCCUGUAAAACACCCAGCCAGGUGUUCAGCAUUGCAAGAAAUGCAAUGGCACAUCGUGAUUCUGAGAUGAAAGAAGAAUGUCUAAGGGAAGACCUGAAGUUUUACUUCAUGAGCCCUUGUGAAAAAUACCGAGCCAGACGCCAGAUUCCGUGGAAACUGGGUUUGCAGAUUUUGAAGAUAGUCAUGGUCACCACACAGCUUGUUCGUUUUGGUUUAAGUAACCAGCUGGUGGUUGCUUUCAAAGAAGAUAACACUGUUGCUUUUAAGCACUUGUUUUUGAAAGGAUAUUCUGGUACAGAUGAAGAUGACUACAGCUGCAGUGUAUAUACUCAAGAGGAUGCCUAUGAGAGCAUCUUUUUUGCUAUUAAUCAGUAUCAUCAGCUAAAGGACAUUACCCUGGGGACCCUUGGUUAUGGAGAAAAUGAAGACAAUAGAAUUGGCUUAAAAGUCUGUAAGCAGCAUUACAAGAAAGGGACCAUGUUUCCUUCUAAUGAGACACUGAAUAUUGACAACGACGUUGAGCUCGAUUGUGUUCAAUUAGACCUUCAGGACCUCUCCAAGAAGCCUCCGGACUGGAAGAACUCAUCAUUCUUCAGACUGGAAUUUUAUCGGCUCUUACAGGUUGAAAUCUCCUUUCAUCUUAAAGGCAUUGACCUACAAACAAUUCAUUCCCGUGAGUUACCAGACUGUUAUGUCUUUCAGAAUACGAUUAUCUUUGACAAUAAAGCUCACAGUGGCAAAAUCAAAAUCUAUUUUGACAGUGAUGCCAAAAUUGAAGAAUGUAAAGACUUGAACAUACUUGGAUCUACUCAGAAAAAUGCUCAGUAUGUCCUGGUGUUUGAUGCAUUUGUCAUUGUGAUUUGCUUGGCAUCUCUUAUUCUGUGUACAAGAUCCAUUGUUCUUGCUCUAAGGUUACGGAAGAGAUUUCUAAAUUUCUUCCUGGAGAAGUACAAGCGGCCUGUGUGUGACACCGACCAGUGGGAGUUCAUCAACGGCUGGUAUGUCCUGGUGAUUAUCAGCGACCUAAUGACAAUCAUUGGCUCCAUAUUAAAAAUGGAAAUCAAAGCAAAGAAUCUCACAAACUAUGAUCUCUGCAGCAUUUUUCUUGGAACCUCUACGCUCUUGGUUUGGGUUGGAGUCAUCAGAUACCUGGGUUAUUUCCAGGCAUAUAAUGUGCUGAUUUUAACAAUGCAGGCCUCACUGCCAAAAGUUCUUCGGUUUUGUGCUUGUGCUGGUAUGAUUUAUCUGGGUUACACAUUCUGUGGCUGGAUUGUCUUAGGACCAUACCAUGACAAGUUUGAAAAUCUGAACACAGUUGCUGAGUGUCUGUUUUCUCUGGUCAACGGUGAUGACAUGUUUGCAACCUUUGCCCAAAUCCAGCAGAAGAGCAUCUUGGUGUGGCUGUUCAGUCGUCUGUAUUUAUAUUCCUUCAUCAGCCUUUUUAUAUAUAUGAUUCUCAGUCUUUUUAUUGCACUUAUUACAGAUUCUUAUGACACCAUUAAGAAAUUCCAACAGAAUGGGUUUCCUGAAACGGAUUUGCAGGAAUUCCUGAAGGAAUGCAGUAGCAAAGAAGAGUAUCAGAAAGAGUCCUCAGCCUUCCUGUCCUGCAUCUGCUGUCGGAGGAGCCCUAUGGAACGAGUGAAAGAUUUAAGGCGUGGACCCCAAGACGUUUGGGUAAGAUUGGGUCUGAGUGGUGACAGCAAGGAGCAACAGCAGCAGACCAUUUGCCCUAAAGUGUGCUGAGGGUUGUUGAGAAGAUGCAUGGUGAGACGGAGGGUCUGCCCCUCAUGAAGAGUGAAAGAAUUCGAGGGAACAAGAGAGCCCACCAAGGAGAUCAACUGAAGAACUAGGAUGAUGAAAGUUUUGAAAAAGAGGAUAUCAAAAAACAAAGACAGGAAAAGAAGUGAUGAUCACUUGAUACCUAUUAGCUAAAGUUCUUCUGCUAAAGAUGAUUAAAGUUCAGGCAUCUUUAUCCAGCGGCUGAGCAGAGGAUCCCCAAAUGACUUGGACAAGCAGUUCCAAAAUGACUCUCUUAUUUAAUUGUGGAGUGGGAAAGAGGACUCACAGUUAGCCAGCUGACCAUGACUGAAGUUCCAACUUUACUUUUUAUAAACUUGAAUGAUAAAGAAUAGACCAUGGGCUACUACUGGGCAUUAGUGCAAUAUAACAGCGAUAAUAAAAUUCUCUAUUAGUCUGUUAAUUUAUGACAUGAUCUCAGAAUUGAAAAAGAUCAUUUCAGAGUGUGCAAAAUAAUAGUCUUUAAAGCCAUAUAAUUAAAUAUGUGUGUUUAUUGUCAAAUAAGGAUUUGUUUUAAAGGUGAUUCUUGGGUUUGAAGACAUUUGUUAAUUCAUGGUCUGUACAGAAAUGAAGCUGGUUGCAAUACCAAUCUAGAGAUUCCAAGCUGGCGAACUAUUAAGCUAUUUAAAGAUCACCCUUGGCCUGGCACAGUGGCUCACACCUGUAAUCCCAGCACUUUGGGAGGCCUAGGCAGGCAGACUGAGCUCAGGAGCUUGAGACCAGCCUGGGCAACAUGGCAAAAACCCAUCUCUACAAAAAGUACAAAAAUUAGUCGGGCGUGAUGGCAGGCAUCUGUAGUCCCAGCUACUUGGGAAGCUGAAGUGGGAGGAUCACCUGAGCUCUGGAGGUGGAGGCUGCCAUGAGCCGUGAUCGUGCCACUACACUCCAGCCUGGGUGACAGAGUGAGAUCCUGUCUCAAAAAAAAAAAAAAAAAAAGAUCACCCUUAAAUCAACAAAAAGACCUCAUGCUCAUGCAGUGGACAUUUCUUGGCCUGUUUUCCUGUGGGUUUUCUUCAGCAUGAUAUGAAGCAACUGUUGGCAUAGCCAGUGGGAUGAAUAAGAAAUGGAAUCAUUUGGCUGCCUCGUCACUUAUGCUAAUGGUCAGUUGUACACACAUGACAUGUGGAAGUGACCUGUAGCAGUGGUCGCUCAUUUUAACAAUUGAACUCCGCUGGGUUGGGUAUUUACCUUUGUCUAGCAAAGAAAUAUGAUAUAUUUUCUCUAAAUAAAUUUAUUUUUAUCAUUCCA